rnacentral:lncRNA from 1 species
UUUAUAGAAAUUAUUUUAAAUUUUCUUUAUCAUAUUUUGCCCCCCUUGUCUUUUAGGGGCUUGGCUCCGCCCCUGGUUUAUGCUUUUUCAUGCUUUCUCUUGAUUAAUUAAGCUUCACUAACUGUUUUAGCUAUAUAUAUAGCUUUCUAAAAGUGUAUAUAUUUUGAUUUUGGUUGUUUAGGUUUCAGCACUGCCAGCACAGAAUUAGCACUAUCACGAAAACACUUACUAUCACAAAUGCAAUGACACCUCACGUAUUUUCAAGGAUUUUGGGUUUCUCAUCAUCCCUUUUUUGCUUGAGGAAGUUGAUCAAGGUUGUGAUAUUACUAGUGUUUGUAAAACAUUUUCUUAACUUGCUAUUCCUUCUUCUAUGCAGAUGCUUCCAAGAGGACAUGAGUUUACUUGGAAGCUUUGUCAUCUUCGAUUGCAAAUGCUUCAUCUCUCAUCAUACGAUUCUUUUCAUGUAAUUAUCAGAAUUUUGAGUCGGAAGCUGUACAAUUCUUUACAGGCUUUAUAUCUGCAUAAACGUGUUUCUUUAU